CUAACCCUAAGAUUCUCUCUACAUACCCACCCCAUCCACUUUUUUUUAAUCUGAUGUGCCCAUGUGUGAAGAUGCUCCCCUAUUUGUGCUUUUGCUUUAGUAAAGAAAAUCAUAUUCUCCAAGUUCUCUCAAACCUUCUCUCCCAUUCUCUCUCUUUCUCCCCUCUGUUUCUUUUAUUCUUGUUGUUCCCUUCCUUUCUCGUCUCUUUCUUCCUCCCUCUCUUCUCAGUUCUCACUCUUUUGUUUGGUUUUGAUUUUAUCAGAGAUAGUUUUGAAAACCAAUUUUCUACUUCUUAUUUCUUUAUUCAGCUGGUACCAUGAUUUGUUUAUAGGAGAAAGUUGUUGUCCUCUUUGAUACCAUGAUUUGUUUUUCAGUUAUAUUUCUAAGCUUUGGUUGUGUUCCGGAUACCGUGAGAUUUGGGAAGCAAAGUGUGUUUGGAAUGAGGAUUAGGCCUAGCUUCUCAGUUCAGAUCUUCUCCAAUUUCUCAAGCGUAGCCGGCAGCGGGCAAUCGACAGCCCUAAUCCCUAUCCCCUACCCUCAUAAUUGUUCUUCCUUCUUCCUUCUAUUUGAAAAGUUGCAAAACCCAGAAAACCCAGUUCAUCUGUGGGUUUGUGCUUCGAACCCCAUUUCUGAUCUCCACCAUUCCUUCAUAUGUGGUUCUGUGUAUAGGAACCGAACACAGUACAGAACCGACCCGAGAAAACCAGUUCGGCUCCAAUACGGUUCCAAGUAUGCAAAAGUGUAAUAACCAAACCGGAAAAUGCUAUCAGUUCCGGUUCCGGUUCCUGGUAGCCCUUGUUUGUACUAGUUCGUGGUUUGAGGGUGGAGCAGAAGUGUUUCGAACUAUUUUUCACUCAAAAUGUUUUGAUUCAAGAGUUGACUUUUUGUACGUUUCAAUUUUUGUGAAAACUUCAUUCCCGAAAGUCGUAGAGCGCGUCGGUACGAGUUCGGGCAUAUGCGGAACGCGAAAAUCGGAGUUUGUAUGAAGAAGUUAUGGAUAUCGGAAAAAGUUUCCAUUUUGGGAGAUAUAGGGAAAAAUCCGAAAAAAAUAUCAGAAAAUCAGAAUUUCCGAAAAGGGAAACUUUUUCUCUCUCUUCGGUCCCGACCCCAGAUCGCCCAGCCGACUUCGACCGGCGAGUUCUUACUCCUCCGGCCACCAAUCGACGAGCCGUUUGUUCCAUUCUCUUCGUCUCACUUCCAUCUCCAACUAUGUGAAGUUUCACGCCGUGGGUUGGCCCGUACAUGGCGCAGCAACGCCGAGAAGUGGUGGCAGCGCUGCAACAUUUCGCCAUCUUGGAACUCACAAUUCUGGCCAAAUCCGGCCAAAUUCGAAGGGGAGGCCAACUGGGCUUUGUUUUUCUUGCCAUGCUCUACAAACUCACCAAGUUUCACUUCUCAAUUCAACCCGAGGAAGACGAAUUUCGGAUUUGAGCGAUUUUGGGCGAUUUCGGCCUCUUUCUUUUUGAGGUGUUUGACGAAGUUGUUCAGACAGAUUGUUACGCUUGUGUAUCUCAUAUGGUGUAUGAAGACGCAGUGGAUUUAGAGGUGAGUAAAUCUCACGUGGUUCAUUUACGAACCGAGUUAUUUAAUUGUCGGAAUUGAAUUAUAAUUGUAAAUCGUUUUCGAAAAUAAAGAUUUUUUUGAACCUACUUCUACUGGAGAUAUUUCAAGCUUUUCCUAUUCCAAAUCAAGAAAGGAAUAUGAAGCCAAGUCUUACAAGGAAACUAAAAGCCAAACAUGAGUAGAAAUCUUCCCUGUAUAAGGGAGCAUGAAUUACACACGAGGAGGACAUCUCGGGAGUAGAUUGAAGAUGCCUAAGGAGCAGAGAUGACUCAUCCAUCUUCCCCUUCUUUUUCCUUCCAUUCUUUUUAUGUUUUUCCAAUGUUUUAUUUAGUUAUCUUUGCUAAACCUUUUUCUAGGGCUAGGGUGAUGCCUUAGCAUGAUUGUUUAUGUACUUUGAUGUUUUAUUGAUGGAUUUAUAGUUUCUUUAUGAUGAAUGCUUAAUCACUAUGGGCAGAGAUGCAAUAUAAUGAAUCCUUACAUGUUAAAUUUAUACAUGAGAAGGAUAGACUGCAUAGCUAGGGUAUAAGAUUUUUACCGGAGAGGGAGAGCAUCAUACACUUAAAUAAAACUAUGGUCUAGAGUACUUGAGAAGAACUUAGAUACAAGCAUUAUCAUCUAAAUUAGAAACAAAAGAAUCUGUUAAUUGCAUAGAAACAUAAAUAGGAUUGUUAGUGGUUGACUCUAAAACUCUAGGUUAAUUCCAUCAUCUUUGCUUUUUUUUUUUUUUUUGAUUAGAUAAAUAACUCAAACGCUACAACUACUCUUUCAUGAGUCGAACUCACAACCUCUCACAUACAAAGAGGAGGCUAUGUUACUAGACCAAAUGGUACCGGGCAUCAUCUUUGCUUUUAAACUUAUAUUUUGUUUAUUUGUUUCUUUCUUUUAUUUUCACAUUAUAUCUUCAUUCAAAAAUCUAAAAACACUAUCUUCUUUCUCUUGAUUGUUCAUUAUGUUUUGAUGUUCUUAGUUUGGAUUAAUUGAGUUAGGAUUUAAAUUGAUUAUCAAUCCUCAGUUGGAACAACCUUGUACUUGCACACUAUACUAAUGGUGAUUCGUGCGAUUGCGAGUACUUUUAAUUAAAAUUUCCCAACAAUUGUGUCAUGGAUCUGGUAAAGAGUACAAUUUUGUUAUUGUUUUUGAUGUUUUAAUGAGAGAUUUUUUAGUCCAUCAUCGCCUUUUUACAAAUGUGUGGGUACGCGACCCGUUUUGAAUUGUUUAGAUUACAAUUGUAGAAAUUGUGUAUUGAGUGAUAAAUGUGAAAUUAUGUAUUGAGUAAUGAUUGAAUUGUUGUGGUAGUACCAGUGUGGUGCUUGUGUACAGUACUAAUGCGGUGAAUAAAAGGCAUCUCAAGUGUAUUUUUUCUUUCUUGUCCAAGAGGGACUUUGAUAUUGAUGACAUGCGUGGUGAAUAUUGUGUAGUAGAAGUCUCAAGUGUCUACUUCUUCUAUUGUCCAAGGACUUGAUGUCUGAUUUAUUAUUCUGAUAACAAUAAUUUGAAUCGUCACUAUGGUGAUUUGUGUUUUCUUUUGUACCUACAUGUACGUUUGCAAAGCAUAAUUAGCUAUAAUCAGCCACGUUCAUCGUACCGCCAGAGGUACCAACUACCGUCAAAGGAGUGACCCACGGAUAAGCAGCCAGGCGGGCCACGGCCUGAGCACAAGAGUUCCCUGGGAUCACCGCUGACGCGCCACCACGCACUCUGCCAAGACGGCAUCAGAAGCUACUGAAACUGGGAACUGAAGCACAUCAGUCCCACAUCGAAAACAAAGAGAAGAUCAGACCUCUCCUCACCUAUAAAAGCCAGCAAGGAUCAUCAAGUAUACAGAGUAGCGGUCCGCCCACCGGACCCGCGUUAAACGAAGAUUAGUCAAAUUCGACAUGAAACUGAGAGCAGCUCAGCAUGAAUCAGAUAGUGCGCUUUAUAUGCUUGGAAAGCCUUGGAUGUCUAGUUUCCAGAAAUUUUAACGGUUCAUUCAUAUCAUUUUUCUACAAGAAGUUAUGGCUGAUUUAGUACAGCAAGGUCGGACAGUCGGAGAAUCUGGACACUUUGAUGGAAAUCCAUGAUUUGAGGCCCAAAUUCCUUUUAGAAGCCCACCGACGAAUACAUCUCAUUGUGCAUGCAUACUAGCUUGAAGGAAUAAGAGUCUUGAUCUUGCUGAGUACGAUCCUGAGCUUGAACGCACACUUAGAGAGUUUUGAAAAAUAGUCAAGGAGACGCGAGCAUCAACAUCCUUGCCACCACCAUCCCCACCACACUUGAGUUCCGGGGAAGAGGAAGAAGAGAGGCAAGAAGAAAUGGCUGAGAACCGUACUUUGAGGGAGUUGGCAACUCUCAAUGUAGAACAACAACCGUUGUGCUGCCUGUGCAUAACCUAUCCAAAUCUGAAUGAGGCUGGAGGAUUUGAGCUGAAGUCUAGCAUGAUUCACUAUUUGCCUAAGUUUCAUGGCUUCUUCACGGAAGAUGUCAACUUGCAUCUCAAGGAGUUACAUAUUGUAUGUUCAGGAAUGAAGCCAGCGACUGUCCAUGAAGACCAUGUCAUGUUAAGGGCCUUCCCAUUCACAUUGGAGGAUAAGGCUAAGGAGUGGCUUUACAAUUUGCCUUCCAGAUCACUCACCACAUGGAAUCAAGUGAACCAAGCAUUCCUUGAGCAAUAUUUUCCAGCUACAAAGGCUGCAAGCAUAAGAAAGGAUAUAUAUGCAAUUCGGCAAAUGCAUGGAGUGUCCUUUGGAGGAUACUAUGAGAGAUUCAUGCGCUUGGUUGCUUCAUGUCCUAAUCAUCAAAUCUCGAGCACCUUCUCAUACAAUAUUUCUAUGAAGGAUUGUGUGGCACAGAUCGUGUGAUGCUUGAUGCAGCAAGUGGGGGAGCAUUCAUGGACAAGACGCAAUCUACUACUAAAGCAUUGUUAAAAAACAUAGCUGGAAAUACUCGGCAAUUUGGAGGGAGAGAUGAGCUAUCACUUAAGAGCGUCAAAGAGGGUGACUUGAUCAUCCGAAUUUUACGUGGAGCAAUAAUGACAAUGUUUUGCAACCUCAUGGAAGCAAUUACAAUCACCCAUCUGGAUUUUAUCAAGCAAGAUCGCAAGCAUCUUAUCAACCUCCUCCUCAACAACAAGCUCCAAGUAAGUCUCUUAAGGAUUUAGUUGCUUCUUUAGCUAACUCUCAACAAUCUUUUCAAUAGAAAACGUAACAGAUAAGUCCAUUGAGAAUCUUGAAUGUCAAGUUAGUCAACUAGUAUGCAUGAUAGGAUAACAACACCAACAAGGAAAACUUCCUAGUCAAAUAGUGAUCAAUCCAAAAGGAGGCUUCGAGAGUGCUUGUUCUAUGACCUUGAGGAGUGGAAAGCAAAUCUUGGAGGAGCCACAUGUGAACAAGAGGGCUAGAGAAGCUGGCGGACAUGAGGAGGAGCGAACGGAAGGAUCUGCCAUUAGAAACGAUCAAUCGUCAGAAAUAAAUUAUCAAUCUCUUGGGAACUUAGAGAGUUUCAGCCAAAAACAAUUGAUUGUCAACACGACACUAUGCCAAAAAAUGCUUCAGACGACAGACCAUAUCUGUCGUCUGAUGAAGUAAAAAUCUGUUGUCUAAGUGGCUGCCGUCUCUAAGCCAUUCAGACGACAGAUAUUCUCCGUCGUUUAUAAGCUACUCAGACGACAGAUUCAGUUUAAGUUCUGUCGUCUGAAGUACCUAAUAUUGAAGAAUCGAAGUCUAUCUGUCGUCUGAAACACCAUACCACUACAUAUUAAUGUUGUUGGAAAUUCACUUCAUCAACGGAUUCAAAAAAUAACUGUCGAUGUAGUUAAUGUAAGAUGAUGGAGUUUUUAUUGUU